AUCCAGAUGACGAGUCCCAAAUAGGACGAACCGUACGUCCUGGAU
rnacentral:hammerhead_ribozyme from 1 species